rnacentral:rRNA from 1 species
AAAGGUAACGGAGGCGCUCAAAGGUUCCCUCAGAAUGGUUGGAAAUCAUUCAUAGAGUGUAAAGGCAUAAGGGAGCUUGACUGCGAGACCUACAAGUCGAGCAGGGUCGAAAGACGGACUUAGUGAUCCGGUGGUUCCGCAUGGAAGGGCCAUCGCUCAACGGAUAAAAGCUACCCCGGGGAUAACAGGCUUAUCUCCCCCAAGAGUUCACAUCGACGGGGAGGUUUGGCACCUCGAUGUCGGCUCAUCGCAUCCUGGGGCUGUAGUCGGUCCCAAGGGUUGGGCUGUUCGCCCAUUAAAGCGGUACGCGAGCUGGGUUCAGAACGUCGUGAGACAGUUCGGUCCCUAUCCGUCGUGGGCGUAGGAAAUUUGAGAGGAGCUGUCCUUAGUACGAGAGGACCGGGAUGGACAUACCUCUGGUGUACCAGUUGUCGUGCCAAAGGCAUAGCUGGGUAGCUAUGUGUGGACGGGAUAAGUGCUGAAAGCAUCUAAGCAUGAAGCCCCCCUCAAGAUGAGAUUUCCCAACUUCGGUUAUAAGAUCCCUCAAAGAUGAUGAGGUUAAUAGCUGUCUC